rnacentral:rRNA from 1 species
AUGGGGGAUCUUUGUGAGCUUGAGAUACAGGACUGUCCAGAAUUCUUGUCCGUGAUUCCCACCUCCUGGAUUGAGAGUUUGCGCCGCGUCACGAUUGAAUGUGUCAAGCUACUAAAGAGGUUUGCAUACUCAAAAUCAUCAAAUGGAGCACACUUGGAAAUCAUUGGAUGGGGUGAUCUGCAAAGCUUAGACCAAGUGUUAGUUUUUGAUAAAGAAACAGGUCUUGAGAAGCUGACACUCGAGAGAUGCCCACCUUUGGAGUUGAAGCACCUUCUGAUGCUAACCUCGCUGAAGACACUGAUUGUAAGGCAUUCAGAUGGUCUGGCUGGUCUGGCUGGACCACUAGGAGGUCUGGGUGAUGUGGAAUGGCAGCUCCCUGUUGAGCACAUCGAGAUCUGCCACUUAAAUGGUAAUAGUUGGAAUGAAUUGACAGAGCUCUUCCCACACCUCCCAAAGCUCUCCAAAUUGGAGAUACGGGAUUGUAAAAACAUAAAACAGCUGGUAGUGGGGGUGGAUCUGCGACAAACAGCAUCAGAGAUGGGGGGAGGUGAAAUAACAGCAGCAACAGAGGAAGAGGACGAUGGAGUGCUGCUCUUCCCAGCUCAUCUCUGUGACUCACUACAGAAAUUGAAGUUCCUUUUCUGCCCAGAGCUGGUCCUGGUGAACCCGCCAACGCUUGUUCCUGGAGGAGGAUGGCUCCAAGCCUUGCGAUCCCUCCAGAGAUUAAGCAUAAAGUAUUGCCCAAAGUUUCUAUCCGCCUUCUCGUUUUCCAGUCAAAUCUUCCCUUCCUCCCUGCAAUUCCUGGAGCUUACGAAAUUAGAAGGGAUGGGGACACUAGAGCCUCUCUCAAACCUUUCUUCUCUUACCAGAUUAGUAUUGGAAUUUUGUGGAAAGGAUCUCAAAUGUCAGGGAUUGCAGUCUCUCCUUACCACCGGGGGCCAGCUAAACGAAUUGGAAGUCAGGGGCAGCCAUAUAUUCUUUGCUAAUUGGGAUCCAAAUCCCAGACGGGCUUUGGAGGAUGUUGAAGGAGGAGAAGAGCAGCCAACACAGCUUGUUUCAUCCACACUGCGGAAGCUUUGCACAGAUGACACAGCAGGGCUCCUUGCUGCACCAAUCUGCAGCUUCCUUUCUUCCUCUCUCACCAAGCUGAAACUUCAUGGGUAUGGGCAUGAAGGGAUGGAGCGCUUCAGCAAGGAGCAAGAGGAUGCCCUUCAGCUCCUCUCCUCCCUCCAGAAACUUGAGUUUAGGCAUUUCCGCCAUCUUCAGCAAAUCCCUGCAGGGCUAUGCAACCUUACCAGCCUCAAGGUAUUAUCAAUCAACCACUGUCCUGCCGUCUCGUCAUUGCCCAGCCUCCCCAAAUCACUGGAAAAGCUAGAUGUCUACGACUGCAGCGAGGUGCUAAAACGGCAGUGCAGGUGGAUGUUGGGAACCAUCCCCAAAAUCAUAAGAGGAUGA